rnacentral:pre_miRNA from 1 species
AGCUUUUCGAAUCCGUGCUGAGAUUUCGUUAGACAUCAGACCAUCAGCACUGACGAGACAUCUAAGACAAGUAGAGCG